UGAACAUUGAAUUUUACAUUCCCCUCGCAUUAGGCUUCUACUCCAGGCCGGAUCCUGGAGUUACAAAAAGAAUAAGGGUCAUCUAGAUUCUCUUUCCCAAAAAUGUGCCCGAAUUCUUCCUACCUGUUCUGCUUGAUGCUGUCUGGAAGGCUGUGGAGGCGAAGGACUUGAGAACCCUGAACACUCUCACCCGGCGGCGAUCGAGCUUGGUACAAGGAAGGCUGGCGUGAUCAUCCACUUCACAUCAGAGGAUGUCUAACCACCAGUGUGCUGACACCAAGCAGAAAUUUCCACGUUUAAAGCAGCACUCCCUGUACUCAUCAUAUGUCCCUGGAGAAGAUUGCUUCAUCAUUCUUCAGACCAAAAAAAUAAAAAAAUAAAAAAAUUGAUCCCCUUCAAUAUCCUCCAGUCUCAGAAUGACUAGAUAAAACUUUAUGUGCAUUCAGAUGUCUUCCAUGUCUGAAUUUCUGGUCAUCUUCAUAUCUUCUAUGUCCAUAAAUAAAGAUAAAAUAGUAAUAAACAAAUAAAUCUGCUGUUUUGGUCUCAGCAGAUCAAUUGAGGCUUGGCUUAAUCAGUCCAAGCCUGGAAAACUUCAAUGGACAAAUUCACCUGAUCGGUGUUUGCUGCCUCUUGACAAUACAGGUUUUGUGUGUGGUUCAAUACUUCUCUUGGUAUUUGUCUAGUUGGAAAAGAGAACAAAGGUACUGCAGUUCUGGGCUUUGUGCUUGUAGGACACACACCUGAAAACAUAGCUCCUUCACUCAUGGGGGGCACAGGGCACAGCACCAUUUCCUUAUGCUGCAUGCAAGCUUAUAUAUUUUCUGGGCCUCUCUUCUUUCCAGACAGCAGUUCUUGCUUGGGAUAGGACUUGUACAAUUAUGAAAUAACUCUUCUCAUAGAAGGGAUUUGUAGAGCUUUAUUCUAGUUAUCAAGAUGUAUGUGAUUAAAUGAUUGACUAGGGCUGGGGAUGUAAGGCAGUGCCAGACUGUGUCCCUAAAGUGAGUAUGGUCCUAGGUUCAGUCCUUGGUACCUAUGAUUAAUCCAAGGGCCUAUCCUAAGUGGGAGGAAACAGCUGCUAUUAGUUAUGCUUAUUUCUCACAAAUAUGUGAGAUAUUUUAGUGUGCUUUAUAUUACCCUGAAAUUAAUUUUAAAAUUUGAGACUUUCUAUAUAUUUCUGGCUGGCCUAGAACUCACUAAAUAGUCACAGAGCUAUAUCAGUCUCUGCCUACCCAGUGCUGGAAUUAAAGGCAUGUAGCAUCACACUUGGUGAUUUUUGUCAGUUCUUAUGGCUUUAUACAGAGAGGUAUCAGCAAGAAAUAUAAAUAAAAACCCACAAGAUGAGACUUUUUUAUUGCUGAAAUUCAAUAUCAACACAAAAUAGAUCAGCACAAACAUGUGCAAAGCUGUCUUUGGAGAACAGGUUAAUUUUUCAGCUACAAGAUUUGAAUUAAGUUAAUUGGAGGCAUUAGCAUACCCACCAAGGAAAUAGUAGCCACAGAAGUAGAUAAAUGAAAAGCAGAAGACAGAUAAAAUAAGUUAUCUGAGCAUGGCUCCAAGAUGAAGGAGGGUCUUCAUUUUGUUAGACUCCAUUCCCAAUGACAAUCCUAGUUCGACUGUGAAUCAAUAUUGGGUGAUUUAAAUUUGCUGUUAAUAACUGUUCAAAUCACAAAUGAUAAAUACAUUCAGAACCCAUGUUUUCCAAGCGAUAUUCUUGAUUACAUGGCUUUCAAUGUAGUUCCACUCAGAAAAUACACUAACCACAGAAAUUAAUAUAGUAACAGCUACUACUGAGUGAGUCGUGUUCCACGCUUUCAGUGAAGUUUGUUCAUUGAAGUUGUUUGUCAUAAACAAACGUUUUCAUUUCUAAGUCAAAAUAUUUCUUGACUAUAGUAAAAUAACUUACUUCUUUA